rnacentral:rRNA from 1 species
GGGGCCCGCACAAGCGUGGAGCAUGUGGUUUAAUUCGACGCAACGCGCAGAACCUUACCUAGACUUGACAUCCCGGGGAUUUUCUGGAAACAGAGAAGUGCUUUUAGCAAUAAAGAACCCGGUGACAGGUGCUGCAUGGCUGUCGUCAGCUCGUGUCGUGAGAUGUUGGGUUAAGUCCCGCAACGAGCGCAACCCUCGCCUUUAGUUGCCAGCAUUCAGUUGGGCACUCUAGAGGGACUGCCGGUGUCAAACCGGAGGAAGGUGGGAUGACGUCAAGUCCUCAUGGCCUUUAUGUCUAGGGCUACACACGUACUACAAUGGCCGGUACAAAGGGCAGCCACUCAGCGAUGAGGCGCUAAUCCCAUAAAGCCGGUCUCAGUUCGGAUCGAAGUCUGCAACUCGACUUCGUGAAGCUGGAUUCGCUAGUAAUCGCGCAUCAGCUAUGGCGCGGUGAAUACGUUCCCGGGCCUU